rnacentral:rRNA from 1 species
GGCCAGCAGCCGCGGUAAGACGAAGGAUGCAAGCGUUAUCCGGAUUCAUUGGGUUUAAAGGGAGCGUAGGCGGAUUUGUAAGUCAGUGGUGAAAUCUCUUCGCUUAACGAAGAAACUGCCAUUGAUACUGCAGAUCUUGAGUACAGUUGCCGUUGGCGGAAUAUGACAUGUAGUGGUGAAAUACUUAGAUAUGUCAUAGAACACCGAUUGCGAAGGCAGCUAACGAAGCUGUAACUGACGCUGAGGCUCGAAAGUGCGGGGAUCAAACAGGAUUAGAUACCCUGGUAGUCCGCACUGUAAACGAUGAUUACUCGUUGCUGAGGGGUAACCUUCAGUGACCAAGCGAAAGCGAUAAGUAAUCCACCUGGGGAGUACGCCGGCAACGGUGAAACUUAAAGGAAUUGGCGGGGGAC